rnacentral:rRNA from 1 species
GACGAACGCUGGCGGCGUGCUUAACACAUGCAAGUCGAACGGGAGUAUAAAGAAAGCUUGCUUUUGAUAUACUUUAGUGGCGGACGGGUGAGUAACGCGUGAGGAGCUGUCCUGUACAGGGGGACAACAGAUGGAAACGUCUGCUAAUACCCCAUAAGCCUUUGGGUAAAAGGAGCAAUCCGGUACAAGAGGUACUCGCGUCCUAUCAGCUAGUAGGUGAGGUAACGGCUCACCUAGGCGAAGACGGGUAGCCGGCCUGAGAGGGCGAACGGCCACACUGGAACUGAGACACGGUCCAGACUCCUACGGGAGGCAGCAGUGGGGAAUCUUCCACAAUGGGCGAAAGCCUGAUGGAGCGACGCCGCGUGAGCGAAGAAGGCCUUCGGGUUGUAAAGACUCUGUCUGGAGGGACGAAGGAAGUGACGGUACCUCCGGACGGAAGCCACGGCUAACUACGUAGCCAGCAGCCGCGGUAAAGACUACGUAGA